rnacentral:ncRNA from 1 species
UGAAAAUAAAAUUUGUGAUGCUCUUAAAGUAUUUGAUUAUGGUAUUUUGUCUUGCUAUUGGUGGGGUUUAUAUGAGAAGUUUUAUGGCCUAAAGGGCUUAUUUUUAGUAAAAGAAAUUAGUGUUGAUGUUAAUAUUAUAUAAGUUUUAAUUUUAAGCUAAUGUUGUGCCAGCGGCUGCGGUUAUACAACUUAAAGUGUGAGAUUUUGUGGUAAAAGAGAGUGUUAUUUUUGUUAGAUGAUAGGGGGGAUUAUUUGGUUUUUGGUAGAAUUUUUAUCUGUGUAGUUUUUAUUUUUUAAGUAGUUGAUUAAUUAUUUAUUUUACAUGAUCAUAAACUAGGAUUAGAUACCCUAUUAUUUUUGUGAAAAGGUUUACCGUAGGAUUAGGGGUGUUAAUUGAAAUUAAAAUGAUUUGGCGGCGUGUUGUCUUAUCAGAGGAACCUGAAGUUGAGUCGAUAGCCCGCGAGUAGUUAAUCUUUCCUAUUAGUUUGUAUAUCUCCGUCGUAAGGAGAAUUUAAUAAAAUAUCUUCUGGGGUUUAGAGAGGAAGAGAAGACAGGUCAAGGUGCAGCUUAUGGAGGGGGUUCUUUGGGUUACAAUUUUUGUUGGAAGCACGGACGAAUAUCAGGAUUGAUUUUUAGAAGGUGGAUUUGUAAGUAAUUAUUUUUAUAGGAUUAAUAAGUGAAGGGUGGAAUAACAUGUGUACAUAUUGCCCGUCGCUCUCGUUAUUUUUGAGAUAAGUCGUAACAUAGUUGAUGAACUGGAAAGUGUAUCUUUUUGA